rnacentral:rRNA from 1 species
GCUCUUGCAUGGUUGAUUCGUUAGCGCGGGGUAUUGCUUAAUGUAUACUCUAGCCACGUUCGUCUGAACGAUCUUAACAAAUCAUCAUGGGGCUUAUAGUGUGGGCUACAGGCGUAUUACAUUGGACACGACAUUUUGAUUUGAAGCGAAAACUGUCCGAAUUUACGGAUUGGGGAUGUAUUUGGUUGUACUAACUCUGAAUCAUAUGCUGAAACGGCUCCCAUGAAGAAGGAAUCGCGAGUAAUCGUAGAUCAUUAGCGCUACGGUGAAGGUUAACUCUAUUGUGUACAAACCGCCCGUCACCUUAGGCGAUAGUAUUGUACAAGAAGAACUUAAGCCACACUAAUUAUGUCGCAGCUCGAGAACAAAUGCGUAAUACUAAAGCUUAAGCAAGUCGUAACAUGGUUGGGGUAGUGGAAACUGCUCCUGUAUCAAAUUUUAUAU